UGGCGGCAGGCUUAACACAUGCAAGUCGAGCGGGGUGAUGGUGCUUGCACUAUCACUUAGCGGCGGACGGGUGAGUAAUGCUUAGGAAUCUGCCUAUUAGUGGGGGACAACAUUUCGAAAGGAAUGCUAAUACCGCAUACGUCCUACGGGAGAAAGCAGGGGAUCUUCGGACCUUGCGCUAAUAGAUGAGCCUAAGUCGGAUUAGCUAGUUGGUGGGGUAAAGGCCUACCAAGGCGACGAUCUGUAGCGGGUCUGAGAGGAUGAUCCGCCACACUGGGACUGAGACACGGCCCAGACUCCUACGGGAGGCAGCAGUGGGGAAUAUUGGACAAUGGGCGGAAGCCUGAUCCAGCCAUGCCGCGUGUGUGAAGAAGGCCUUAUGGUUGUAAAGCACUUUAAGCGAGGAGGAGGCUACUUUAGUUAAUACCUAGAGAUAGUGGACGUUACUCGCAGAAUAAGCACCGGCUAACUCUGUGCCAGCAGCCGCGGUAAUACAGAGGGUGCAAGCGUUAAUCGGAUUUACUGGGCGUAAAGCGCGCGUAGGCGGCUAAUUAAGUCAAAUGUGAAAUCCCCGAGCUUAACUUGGGAAUUGCAUUCGAUACUGGUUAGCUAGAGUGUGGGAGAGGAUGGUAGAAUUCCAGGUGUAGCGGUGAAAUGCGUAGAGAUCUGGAGGAAUACCGAUGGCGAAGGCAGCCAUCUGGCCUAACACUGACGCUGAGGUGCGAAAGCAUGGGGAGCAAACAGGAUUAGAUACCCUGGUAGUCCAUGCCGUAAACGAUGUCUACUAGCCGUUGGGGCCUUUGAGGCUUUAGUGGCGCA
rnacentral:rRNA from 1 species